UUACGACCAUACCACGUUCAAAUAGCGGUUUUCGUCAGAUCACCAAAGUUAAGCAACGUCGAGACUGGUAAGUAUCUAGAUGGGUUACCGCUUGCGAAUACCAGUCGCUGCAAG